rnacentral:lncRNA from 1 species
AUGAUAAAAUAUUAUCCAUGUUUUCGGAAAACAGAAAAAUGGCCAAAAAGUAUUUUUCUACCUUGUGAACAUUUCUUGUACAAACGCAUUGAUUUUGUAUAACAGACAAUUUUCAGAACAUAAAUCAUCUUUAUUAGAUUUUAUGCUUGAUAUCAUUAGACAGAUGUUGAUGAAAAGAGAUGAUAUUUGUACUCCAUCCACAUCAUCUUUCCUCUCCAGUUCUGAUCCUGUACAUCGUCUAUCAGAAAGGAUUUCAGAUCAUUCACCAAUUUCAAAUACUCCUGGGAAGAAAGGGCACUCAAAAAUGCGAAAAUGUAGAGUUUGUUCAAAUAAAAAUAAAAGAAAACGAUCGUCA